rnacentral:rRNA from 1 species
AUUGAACGCUGGCGGCAUGCUUUACACAUGCAAGUCGAACGGUAACAGGCCGCAAGGUGCUGACGAGUGGCGGACGGGUGCGUAAUGCAUCGGAACGUGCCCAGUCGUGGGGGGUAACUACUCGCAAGAGUAGCUAAUACCGCAUACGAUCUAUGGAAGAAAGCGGGGGACCGUAAGGCCUCGCGCGAUUUUAGCGGCCGAUGUCAGAUUAGGUAGUUGGUGGGGUAAAGGCUCACCAAGUCAACGAUCAGUAGCUGGUCUGAGAGGACGACCAGCCACACUGGGACUGAGACACGGCCCAGACUCCUACGGGAGGCAGCAGUGGGGAAUUUUGGACAAUGGGCGCAAGCCUGAUCCAGCAAUGCCGCGUGCAGGAAGAAGGCCUUCGGAUUGUAAACUGCUUUUGUACGGAACGAAACGGCUCUGGUUAAUACCCGGGGCUAAUGACGGUACCGUAAGAAUAAGCACCGGCUAACUACGUG